rnacentral:lncRNA from 1 species
AAGGAGUGAUUCCCACCUCAUGGGAAAGUAACUUUCCCAUGUUUCUCAUGGGAAAGACUUUCCCAUGAAAUAUGGGAAUCAUAUUCCCAUGGGAAUACAACUUUCCCAUCUCUCUCCUUUGAAAACUCCAACCAAACAAGAGGCAUUUCAUUACUUUCCCGUUGACCAUACUUUUCCCCCUCCUUUUCCUGCGAACCAAACGAGCCCUU